rnacentral:rRNA from 1 species
GACGAACGCUGGCGGCGUGCUUAACACAUGCAAGUCGAACGGAAAGGCCCUGCUUUUGUGGGGUGCUCGAGUGGCGAACGGGUGAGUAACACGUGAGUAACCUGCCCUUGACUUUGGGAUAACUUCAGGAAACUGGGGCUAAUACCGGAUAGGAGCUCCUGCUGCAUGGUGGGGGUUGGAAAGUUUCGGCGGUUGGGGAUGGACUCGCGGCUUAUCAGCUUGUUGGUGGGGUAGUGGCUUACCAAGGCUUUGACGGGUAGCCGGCCUGAGAGGGUGACCGGCCACAUUGGGACUGAGAUACGGCCCAGACUCCUACGGGAGGCAGCAGUGGGGAAUAUUGCACAAUGGGCGGAAGCCUGAUGCAGCAACGCCGCGUGCGGGAUGACGGCCUUCAGGGUUGUAAACCGCUUUCGCCUGUGACGAAGCGUGAGUGACGGUAAUGGGUAAAGAAGCACCGGCUAACUACGUG